rnacentral:lncRNA from 10 species
CAGCUGCGUUAAAUGGAGAUGAAACUAUUGCUUUGCUUAAUUACAGCUCAUGCAUACCCACCUCCUCAUGUCAUCCACAUGAUGUGGCAAGGUCCCUCAGGGAUUCACGUCUCAGAGCAAACCUCACAGGAAAGAGGUUACAUCUUCAAGCCCCUGACAGUCAUUCGCUGCAAAAUCAAAUAAACUGAUACAAGGGUAGCCACAUGGUGGAGGCUGUGGAGAUGUUAUCAAAUCUCCCUAAACUGAGAGCGGCUACACAGCGGCUCAGAAAUCAUAGCCUAGAGUCGAAGGGGCCCAGAAGGAUGAACUAUUCCAGGGCUGUUAAAAAUA